AUACGUAGGUGGCAAGCGUUGCCCGGAAUUACUGGGUGUAAAGGGUGCGUAGGCGGGGAUGCCAGUCAGAUGUGAAAUCUAUCGGCUCAACUGGUAAACUGCAUUUGAAACUGCAUUUUUUGAGUGGUGGCGAGGCAAGCGGAAUUACUAGGGUAGCGGUGAAAUGCGUAGAUAUUAGGAGGAACACCAGUGGCGAAGGCGGCUUACUGGACACUAACUGACGCUGAGGCACGAAAGCAUGGGGAGCAAACAGGAUGAGAUACCCUGGUAGUCCAUGCCGUAAACGAUGAUUACUAGGUGUAGGGGGUAUCGACCCCUUCUGUGCCGGAGUUAACACAAUAAGGAAUCCACCUGGGGAGUACGGCCGCAAGGUUGAAACUCAAAUGAAUUGACGGGG
rnacentral:rRNA from 1 species